CGGACGGGUGAGUAACGCGUGGACACUACCCGCACUACGGGGACGGAACUAAGCGGUAACGGACGUCGCUAAUACCGCAUAUGCGCACGGCCCCGCAUGGGGCCGCGCGGAAAGCGCAUGCGGUGCGGGAUGGGUCCGCGUCUGAUUAGCUUGUUGGCGGGGUAACGGCCCACCAAGGCGAUGAUCAGUAGCCGGCCUGAGAGGGUGGACGGCCACAUUGGGACUGAGACACGGCCCAGACUCCUACGGGAGGCAGCAG
rnacentral:rRNA from 1 species